AAACUUAAAGGAAUUGACGGGACCCGCACAAGCAGCGGAGCGUGUGGUUUAAUUCGUUGCUUACACGAAGAACCUUACCUGGGUUUGACAUAUAGGUUGUAGGGAACUGAAAGGGACCGACCCUUCGGGGAGCCUAUACAGGUGUUGCAUGGCUGUCGUCAGCUCGUGUCGUGAGAUGUUCGGUUAAGUCCGCUAACGAGCGCAACCCUCGUCGUAUGUUAUAUGUGUCAUACGAGACUGCCGGUAAAAGCCGGAGGAAGGUGAGGAUGAUGUCAAGUCAGCAUGACCUUUAUAUCCAGGGCUACACACACGCUACAAUGGUCUGUACAAUGGGUAGCCAAGCCGCGAGGCGGAGCCAAUCCUGAAAGCAGGCCUCAGUUCAGAUUGCAGUCUGCAACUCGACUGCAUGAAGCCGGAGUUGCUAGUAACCGCAGGUCAGCAAUACUGCGGUGAAUACGUUCCCGGGUCUU
rnacentral:rRNA from 1 species